AGAAGAAAAGAGAACUGAGACAAUAUCGAACAGUAAGGCCAUCGAGAAACCAAAGGUGAGUUGAGGGGUCUGACCCCCCAAACCACUGCAAACGCACGGCACCCUGAGGUCAGCUUCCCUCACGUUUCUCGAAACCUGGCUACACCUCUGCCCCAAAUCCUUUAACAGUGACAAAAAAAACACAGCAAAGAUCACCAUGCGCCAACAGGUAUGUCACCUGGGACAAGGGCACAUGUGACGGUUCUAUCUUAACCCUGGCAGAUGCCCCGCAGAGGGCUAAAGUAGAUUCAGCCUGCAGAUUUCUGAGGAAGGGUAGAAUCUUACGUAAUUAUAGCAAAUUAUAGCAGCAAUAACUGAGAACAGCCUCAAGGCCAAGGCCAAGGCCAAGGCCAGAUGAUACCAUGGUUCUAGAACUGCUUUGUUUAAUGCCUCCCUGUGUCCACACUCUUUUGUAGUGUGACACGGGGCAGUCCUCCCAUCAGAAGGUGAAAUGUAUUUCUCCACCCCUUAGCAUCUGGGCUGGCCCUGGGCCUGCUUAGACAAAUCAAACAGGGAGAAAGUGGCUUUGGACAGGUCCUGAGCCAGGCCAAAAGGGGCCUGCCUUGCAGCCUCUGCUCUUGAAACUGCUCCUGGGACCUCAGGACACAGAUGGGAUCAGCUGGGAAGGAGGGGGCAGGGCAGCUGGGCCCAGGGCUGGAGGCAGAGUCUGCCUGCCCCUACCCCCCACCGAGGGCCUUGACUCCUCUCUCUGAGCUCUUAUCUCAGUCUGGCUGCUUCCGCUAACAUCUUUUCAUCCUCAUCUUAACAUCAUCAUCUCUCUUUUAUUGUGGUAAGAACAAUCACCAUCUCAAUUUUAAAAGUUACAACCUACUCCUCUGGAGAAAAAGCAACUACUACUUCUACUACUUCCCACCUCCACUCCCCAGCUAUGCUCCUGUCUCAGAGCUAUUCCAGGUGGAGGGGCUGGGGAAGGAAGAGGGCAAAGGGACAGACAGGCUGCACUCAAAGCCCUCAUCAUUUUUCCCUGGAAAAUUAACGGAUUCUGCUAACACCUACCCCUGCCGCUCCAGCCUCACACUGCAGCUAGUGCACUCCCCAUGCUAAUGACUGGGCUUCCAAAUUCCCUCAGCAGCUACCUGACGCUCUCAGAGUGAAAUAUCUACACUCUCCUCCGCUUAGUUUACACAGCUCUUCACCACAGACUGCUGAAAACUUGACUGCACUCCAUGACGACCUUGAACCUAUAAAAGAAAAACUUCCCCAAACCUGGUCUGGAACAGAACCAAGUUGCCUACCACAAAAUUCGUAGCAUUCUAGUGGGGAGAAAUCAACAGCAUUCCAGAUAAAAUUGCUUUUUUCUACAGCAAUUUUCUAAUGAAGUUCAAGAAGACUGAGGCUUGUUCUGGACAACCCAUUCCCAUUCUCCAGUUCAACUCUCAAUUGUCAGUUAGAGUCUAAAGCUUUUUGGGGUCCACGAUGGCAGCAAAUGAGGUAGAAGCUACACUAACCCCCGCCCAGGACCAAACUGGAAUAACAUCUAAAUUAUAGGGAAGGCAGCCCGAAUCACCAGCUGAAGACUAGCUGGAGAGAUGCCUUAUAAAGAAAGGACUUACAGAAGACACACUGAGACUGGUAGGAGAUGCAGAGGCGCGAGAGGGCUGGCAGGGCUUCCACAAGCAGCAGCUGAAGUUCUGAAGGCAUAUCCCAGCAGAGGGGGGAUCCCCCUGCGAAGUGUGGGGCCUAAACUCCAAGCUGGGCUCUGCAGUCUAGGUCACCAGAACGGGGAAAGGCGCCAACAUAACAUCUGGCUGUGAAAAGCCGCGGGGCUCCUGUCCACCAGGGCAAGAUGGCUCAAGAUGCAGCCACCCACUUAAAGAGCCAAUGCACACAAUUUUGUUUGCAGCUACUUACCCUGGGCUCCAGCAGAGGAAGAGCAAAGUGGACUAGAGCUGCAUGAGGACAGUCUGGGGUUGACAGCUCUUGGGAGAAAACUGAAAGGACAGCUACCAGGAUACCUGUGUGGAGUGACUUUCCCACAUGGCAGAUACCACCUUUCUUGGGUGGAAUACUACCCUCCAAACCACAUCAGCCUGGGGCGGGGGGGGGGGAGCAAUAGCC